ensembl:lncRNA
GUGACGGAGAAGGCAAUGGCAACCCACUCCAGCACUCUUGCCUGGAAAAUCCCAUGGACGGAGGGGCCUGGUGGGCUGCAGUCCAUGGAGUCGCUAGGAGUCGGACAUGACUGAGUGACUUCACUUUAUUUUUUCACUUUCAUGCAUUGGAGAAGGAAAUGGCAACCCACUCCAGUGUUCUUGCCUGGAGAAUCCCAGGGACGGGGGAGCCUGGUGGGCUGCCGUCUAUGGGGUCGCACAGAGUCGGACACGACUGAAGCGACUUAGCAGCAGCAGCAGCAGCAAGACCUACAUGAAGCAGGCACUGGUCAGGCAGGGAAUGUACAGAGAGCAAGAGCUCCACCAUGUUGAGUGGCUUGACCAUACAGAGAGUUUGCAAAGCAGCAGCAAUGAACAAAGGAGAUGGAGCAGAGAGCAGGUGGGAGGGCAGGAGUGUGUCCAGAUGUGUAAGUCCAGAUGUGUACGUGGAUGGCACUGACAUAAAGAUGGGGGUUGGUGCCUAUCACUUUGUGUUCAGCAGCGUUUUUUAAAAAUCCCAAUGCCUAGGCCACACCCUCGGCCAACUAAAGCCGUCUCUGGGGUUGGGCUCCAGGUGUCGUAAUUUAUUAAACUCCCAAGUGACUCCAGCGUGCACUGGGGGCUGGGUGUGAAGGCAGAAGACAGAGAACUGGGUGGGAAGAGAGAGAAGAGAGGCCCUAGAAGUCUCACAGAGGCACAUCUGCGUGCUCAGCCCAGAGCCCGAACCGGACCAAGCAGGGAAGGGAAGACAGGACAGAGGACUGGGGGACCCUGCAAUUUUUGCUGAGUUUGAGGACCCUAAUGUGGAAGGCGCCAGCCAACACCAGCCCCUAACUCUGGCUGCCUGAAAUUGCUAGCAUCUCCUGGGAUUAGCUGGUUUUGCGAAAGGAGAGAAUGAGCACCUUCCCCACCAACGCACUCACUGCUCUGCAAAGAACUAACCCCCGUGGCUCCUAAAGGCGCUUAUGGAUAGGAGCAGCGUUGGGCAGACGCGAAAGGAAAUUCAGUGUUGACAGUUUCCGGAUUCUGCUCCCAAAGCUGACAUGUCUACUGUCACAUCAAAAGACAAAUCCGAUUUCAAUGCAGGAUUUUCAUUCAAAAGUCUUCCAGUGCUACUCAUGCCACGCUCGGAUAAAGGAGGGUUUGUGGGGUGGUCACUGGGAACACACCCAGACACACGAUGUAUCCAGAAUCACUCUUCACUAAGAACAUCUCUAGCUAAUUGUAGGGUUCCAUCCUGUCGUCUACACCUGUGCGCUCUGAGCAGUCAGAAAUCGCUCCGGACUGUCCUAAGUAAAAAUGCGUACCUUCCUCCCUUCCUCUCGCCCUCGGAAAAAUGCUUCACUCCAUGGGGAACAGCUAAGAAUUGUGGUUGCUGCUGCUGCUGCUGCUGCUAAGUCGCUUCAGUCGUGAGCGACCCCAGAGACGGCAGCCCACCAGGCUCCCUGCUCCCUGGGAUUGUGGUUAAGAUCAGCUAAAAAAAAUGUUUUUUAAUAGUCUUUUUUCCCCUUUUAUUUCCUUUUUAAUCCCCAUUCCCCACUCUCAUGACCUUCUUCCCCACAGGAGGCUCUUCUAAUAUAUUUAAUGUGUGUAGCUUCAUAUGUACGCAUUUUUGUAAACAUGCACUGUUUAGAAGAUUUUUCUUAAACAGAUACAGAACAAUUUUUUUACUAUGUAUUCGGCUGCACUGAGUCUUAGUCGUGUCGUGCGGGGCCUCAGCUGUGGCAGGCACACUCUUCACUGCGGUGUGCAGGCUUCUUUACUUG